GCUUUUUAAACAUUGGAAGUUCUUCUGUGUCAGUUCUGUGACAGAACAUUUACUUAACACAUCAUGAAGGCUAGUUUGGAUGUGGAGGGGAAUAGACUCCAUCUAUCCAUAUGAGACAGGUAAAAUGGAAAGCAGUUAUACAAAUGCUAUACUAACUCCUCACAAAGACUACCCAAAGAUAAUAUUAUCAUCUGUGUUUUUUGGUGAUCAUACUGAGGCAGAGAGCAGUUGUGAAAUGGAGUCUCAGAAUCGUCGCUAUAUGAAGCAGAAAAACUGGUUUCCUCUCUUGGCAGUCUGACUCCAAGAUCUCUUAGAAACAAUUAUACUGUAAAAACCUGAAAAAGAAGUAAAAAACAAGAUUGGAGACUAAUACUAACAUCUAUUCUUCUUAAUAGCAUAAUCAAAAAUAAAUUAAACAGAAAAAUAAAAGUGAAUAUUCAUACCAAGGGAA
rnacentral:misc_RNA from 1 species